CCAUGUGCGUGUACGUUAGCCUCUCAAAUGCCCUUCACCUCCAAUACCUUUUGAGCUCAUCAACCAAUCUCAAGCCAACCUUGCUGAAGGAUAUGAGCAUUGGAGAUACAGUGUUCUUACAAGUGUCAUGAAAAUAUGUGCUCGCAGAAAAGAUGUGCUGUUCAUUCUGCCGCUGACAAGAAAAGCUAACAAACUUGCCCUUUUCAGACUUCAGGGAACCCAGGAUACUGGAGACCAUAUUCCAUUAUUUCUGCAGCUUGUGAACGUGUUUGUUUCAUCUUGUUGAGGCAUAAUCUGACAUCUGCUGGACUGAGCCCACUGAAAGGGGAUGAUCAGCAGCCAUUGUCCAGUGAUCCAUGCUGGAUGCAAGAAGCAGAUCGAGUCUUAAUUCUCCUGCUGUUCCAGCUGCCCAGCACACUCUCCUAGCCUGCAGUUCAAGAGUUGCGUACCGCCAUUAUGCUGCAAACAAUUCCUCCUGAUACACGCUCAGUGCUUCAAGAGAAGCCUCAAGCUGGCUUUUCUCCCUUCUGUCAGAGUCCCCGUCGCCUACCACCAGCAGUGAGCAAGAAGAGAGCCAGCACAGCAGGAGAACUACAGUCUACAGGAUCUCCGGCUUUGAAAUGUUGAUACAUAUUCAUUGCAGCUUCUAAGACUUGAAAGGCAUAGCUAAAGGGAGAGCUCUGAUCAACAAGAAUGUGAAAGCAGCAACGAAAGCAGGAUACAUGGAUGCAAGCUCAGUGAGUAAGCAGCAUUUGAACAGUUAGCACAGUGAAUGAGGCAACGGGAGAUCUGAAUUCUGGUUCUGGUUCUGCUGCCUCUGAUGGCUGCAGACAAGAUCGUGUGCCUCAGCUCCUCUAGCUGCAGGAUAUAUGCAGCAGCAAAGCUUCAGCACUCUGAAGCAUCAUGCUAAUAAAUGCAGUCUGAAACUGGUGACA
rnacentral:lncRNA from 1 species